rnacentral:rRNA from 15 species
UUCCUUGUCGGGUAAGUUCCGACCUGCACGAAUGGCGUAACGACCUCCCCACUGUCUCCAGCAUCGGCUCAGCGAAAUUGAACUCCCCGUGAAGAUGCGGGGUACCCGCGGUCAGACGGAAAGACCCUAUGAACCUUUACUGCAACUUCGCAGUGGCGCCAGGAAGGGACUGUGUAGGAUAGGUGGGAGGCUAUGAAGCCGGGGCGCUAGCCUUGGUGGAGCCAACCUUGAAAUACCACCCUGUGCCUUUCUGGCGUCUAACUGAGCCCCGUUAGCCGGGGCCAGGACCCUGCGUGGUGGGCAGUUUGACUGGGGCGGUCGCCUC